rnacentral:rRNA from 1 species
AACUUAAUCUUGAGAUCACUUAUAUGUGGUACUCGAGAUAACGUAAGGGAAAAUAAAUGAUAUUACCUUACUAUAAGUGUUGUCCAAAUCACUGGUGCCAGAAGACUCGGUAACGCCAGAAACGCAAACGUUAGUCGCAUUAAUCAGGCGUAAAGGGUAAGUAGGCAGCUUUAAAAUUUAUUAAUUAUUAUGCUUUGUCUUAAUUGAUAAAUAAUUUAAUAUUGAAUUAAAGCUAGAAUCAAAAAGAGGAUAAGCCAAAUAAUAUUUAGAGUAGGGAUGAAAUCCGUAGAUACUAAAUGGAAUACUUAAGGUGUAAACUUUUAUCCAAUAAUGAUUGACGCUGAGGAACGAAGGUGAGAAUAGAAAAUAGGAUUAGAGACCCAGAUAUCUCUCACUGUCAACGAUGAAUGGUAGUUGUUAGUCUUAAUAUAGAUUAGUAACGAUGUUAACGCGAUAACCAUUCCGCCUUGCGAGUACGGUUGCAAAACUGAGGAA